rnacentral:rRNA from 1 species
UACAGAGGUGGCAAGCGUUGUUCGGAAUUACUGGGCGUAAAGGGCGCGUAGGCGGCCUUCUAAGUCAGACGUGAAAUCCCCCGGCUUAACCUGGGAACUGCGUCUGAUACUGGGAGGCUAGAGUAUGGGAGAGGGAUGUAGAAUUCCAGGUGUAGCGGUGAAAUGCGUAGAUAUCUGGAGGAAUACCGGUGGCGAAGGCGGCAUCCUGGGACCAUUACUGACGCUGAGGCGCGAAAGCUAGGGGAGCAAACGGG